CGAACGCAGUAGCAAUACUGAGUGGCAAACGGGUGAGUAUAAUGUGGGAAUCUGCCUUUUGGUUUGGAAUAACACGGGGAAACUUGUGCUAAUACCGAAUAAGCCCUUACGGGGAAAGUUUUAACGCCGAAAGAUGAGCCCGCACUUGAUUAGCUAGUUGGUAAGGUAAAAGCUUACCAAGGCAACGAUCAAUAGCUGUUCUUAGAGGAAGACCAGCCACAUUGGGACUGAGACACGGCCCAGACUCCUACGGGAGGCAGCAGUGGGGAAUCUUGCACAAUGGGGGAAACCCUGAUGCAGCGAUGCCGCGUGAGUGAAGAAGGCCCUUGGGUUGUAAAACUCUUUCGUCGGGGAAGAAAAUGACUGUACCCGAAUAAGAAGGUCCGGCUGACUUCGUGCCAGCAGCCGCGGUAAUACGAAGGGACCUAGCGUAGUUCGGAAUUACUGGGCUUAAAGAGCUCGUAGGUGGUUAAAAAAGUUGAUGGUGAAAUCCCAAGGCUCAACCUUGGAACUGCCAUCAAAACUUUUUAGCUAGAGUGUGAUAGAGGUAAGUGGAAUUUCUAGUGUAGAGGUGAAAUUCGUAGAUAUUAGAAAGAACACCAAAUGCGAAGGCAACUUACUGGGUCACUACUGACACUGAGGAGCGAAAGCAUGGGUAGCGAAGAGGAUU
rnacentral:rRNA from 1 species